rnacentral:sRNA from 1 species
AUUCCAACCCCGUUUGGCGUCGCUUUCCUCCUCCUGAUGGCGCCGACGGACACGGCCAGCCGCCGUGGGUUGGAACUGACGCGACGCUCGCCCUCUCCCCCUAACCGGGCGUCGCGCUAGAGAGGAAGGGACGCGAGCGUCUCCCCCCCUGAACGCGUCCCUUCCUCCCUCCCC